CCAAGUCCGACACUGAGUACGGUAUUUUAAAUGCGGCCCAUAGAGGGUGAAAGGCCCGUAGGGGUGGGGCUCAGACUCUGACAGUACUUCCCUGAUGAGACCUUGGAGUCGGGUUGUUUGUGAAUGCAGCCCAAAGUGGGUGGUAAACUCCAUCCAAGGCUAAAUACAAGCACGAGUCCGAUAGUAAACAAGUACCGUGAGGGAAAGUUGAAAAGUACUUUGAAGAGAGAGUAAACAGUGCGUGAAACCGCUCAGAGGUAAACGGGUGGAGUUGAACUGCUUGUUCUGUGAAUUCAGCUGGUGACUGUAUUAUGAUCUUGGUUAUAUUGAUUGGACAGCGGGGUCUGUGUAGCAGCAGGUCUUUGCCUUCGGGUGAGGAUGCGCGAUUUACUUAUCAAGUAAUGUGCGCCUCGUUUGUUCUUCGAAUCGGUUGCCAGUGCACUUUCUCAGAGCGCUCAUCACGACCGGCACUGCUGUCUGGCUGUUGUGGUUAAACCGAUUUGGCAUAGUUCUUGUAGCUUUGUCGAAUCGGGAUGGCAGGUAGCUCGUUGGCUUGCUUGUGGUUCGCUGCAGGUGUUUGGCUUUCGGGUGUAAUCAGCUGACCAUGAUGGUUCUGUACAGUGUGUCGGAGACAGCGGCUUGUGGUGUGUGCAUGUGUGGUGGUUUGCAGGCAUCUCUGGGUUUGGUUGCCUUGUUCGCUUGUCAAAGCAAGCCUGGCAAUAGCCUUGAGACGUUCUGUGGACUGCUGCAUGUGUGACAUCUUCACAGGGCCGACAGUCUGUGAUGUUGUGGUAGACUAUCCACCUGACCCGU
rnacentral:rRNA from 1 species